ACGCUCGACACCUACGGGGGGCAGCAGUGGGGAAUAUUGGGCAAUGGGCGCAAGCCUGACCCAGCAACGCCGCGUGAAGGAAGAAGGCCCUCGGGUUGUAAACUUCUUUUGACAGGGACGAAACAAAUGACGGUACCUGUCGAAUAAGCCACGGCUAACUACGUGUCAGCAGCCGCGGUAAUCUGAGCGGGCUGGCAAGGC
rnacentral:rRNA from 1 species